rnacentral:lncRNA from 1 species
CGGUAUUCAGCAUGAAAAUCUGAAAGAAGUAAAUGUUUUUUUCCCCUAUUAUUAUGCAUUACAAACCUGGGUCGUCAUGCUUGCAUGUUACCAAGAUGAGUUGUUUCUGAAACCUCCAAGAAUUCAGCUGGCUCCCCGAAGUAGAGUAAAUCAAUCUGGAGUGCAUAUCGGCACCCCGAAAAUUCUUCAGAAGUUGUUAAACCCCAUCACUGAUGAUUUCGUGUAUCAUGUUCAGGGAAGAAGAAAAACCGUGCGUUCAUCAUCAUUGCAACAGCUUACUCUUCGGCAGUCCUCUGUACACGCUUGUUUUUCUGGCUGCUAAGCGUCCGGAGGAAACAGAAAAGUAAGCUUAGUAUAGUAUUUUUAUAGCCAAAAAGGAAGAAAAGAGAAAACUCUAUUCUAAUUUCAUGUAAAACUAAUGGAGAGAUGCACAUUUAGGGAAAAUGAACUUGAUGGAGGAGCCCGAGAAUAUGAAUGAAAUUCUGAGACAAUGGAGGAUUGAAGAUGCUAGUUUGGAGUUCUCAAUGUAUGAUUUCUCUCAGAUUGCUGAUGCUACAGACAACUUCUCACCCAGAAAUAUACUAGGAGAGGGUGGAUUUGGCCCAGUUUACAAGGUAUUUCCUUGCUAUAAUGCUAUUAGUAUGUCAUGCAUCAAUAUAUUAAAAAGCUCCGUAUAUGAUGAAUUUUGCAGGGAGUAUUUCCUGAUGGACAAGAGGUAGCAAUAAAAAGACUGUCUGCUCGGUCACGACAAGGUCUAAUAGAGUUCAAGAAUGAGAUCCAGAUUAUAGCAAAAGUUCAGCACAAAAACCUUGUUAGACUGCUUGGUUGUUGCAUUCAUGAAGAAGAGAAGAUGUUGAUUUACGAAUAUCUGACGAACAAAAGCUUGGACCACUUCAUUUUUGGCAUGCCCUUACUAUAAAAUGCUCAUUAUUUCAUAAUUGCAUUUGUUCUCAUAUGCAGAACUGACACCUGGUCUUGUGUUACAUUGCUUGUAGAUCCAAUCAGACAGGCAUCACUUAAAUGGAAGAGACGGAUUAAAAUAGUUGAUGGUAUAGCCUAGGGACUCCUGUACCUUCACAAUUUCUCACGAAUACGCAUCAUCCAUAGGGACUUGAAAGCAAGUAAUAUCCUGUUAGAUUCAGAUCUAAACCCUAAGAUUUCUGAUUUUGGGAUGGCAAGGAUAUUUCCAUCGGAUGCCACUCAAGCAACAGCCAGCAGACUUGUGGGCACAUAGUAAGUGUAUUAUUAUACUAGUUCUGUUACUUGCUAAUAUUUCUAUCAAAGCAUUUGCAUUCUGACUACCCACAUUCUCUCCUUCUCUAGUGGAUACAUGGCUCCUGAAUAUGUAUCUGAUGGUCUUCUCUCGAUCAAGUCAGAUGUUUUCAGUUUCGGGGUCCUGCUUCUUGAGAUUAUAAGUGGAAAGAGGAGCUCAGGUUUUCAGCACAAUGGAGAGUUUUACAACCUUCUUGAAUACGUAAGCAACUAAGGACUAACAAUCUGUAAAACUGGUGGAACAGAUAUGCUUUCCCUUAUAACAAGAUUGCAUUGUACUAACAGAUCAGUUACUAUUAAUGGUGUAUUUUUAUGGUCUUCUACAUUAUUUCUUCCACGAAGUAUAGGGCUCAAAGUACAGGGCGGUUUCCUUUACCUCCUCCCUGUUUCAUUGCUAUUUUCUAGCAUUUGUAGCUACAUCUAACAGCUAAAGAUAUACCAUCAUACACAUGUAAAAUAUUCAUUUUUCUUUUCAGGCCUGGGAACUGUGGAAAGAUGGGAGAUGGAAUGAGUUCAUUGAUCAAUCAUUUGGUGAUGACUAUGAAAUGGAAGAGCUGAUGAAAUACCUUGCUGUGGCAUUGCUGUGUGUUCAAGAAAAAACAAUUGAUCGUCCUACAAUGCCUGAUGUUGUUGCAAUUCUUAGCAGUGAUGACAUCACUUUGCCAGAACCAAAGCAGCCAGCUUACUCCUAUGCGAAAUUAGAUGUGUCAGUAAAUGUCGCUGUAUUGAGUAGCAGAAAUGAUGUCACCAUCUCUACUACAAAUGGCAGAUAAUAGAAUAUGAGUAUACUGUUAAUAAAGUCAGAGCUACAGGUCUUGGUCAUCCUUCUUGUGUUAAUUAAUUGCAAGGCACUGCGUUCUGCUGUUUCUCACCAGUAAACCUGUCAGCUGCUUUGACCAUUGGUUUUACAUAUUUAACAAGAUUUUCCUUAUUAUUCUAUAUAAACUGAGACAGCAUUAAUUUAUCUUUCAGUCCCAAACUGCCUACCACUGGGCGCUGGCACAUAAGCCAUGUUCUGGUCUCAUGAUGAAUCACAUUCCCCCAAUAAUAGACAGAUAUCAUUUGUUUGGACAUAUCAUAAAUCUAUUCCUGGCUGUUUUUAGUCUUUCUUUAUUUUUUCACAGUCAAGACAUCAGCAUAAGAAUUUAGAAGACGUAAAUACGUAAUCAAGAAGUACAACAGUACCUGGAAUGUAGACAAGUCCACUGCCCACAAGAGAACGAAGUAAACUUCACAUCACGUGGAAUAGUCCACAAGAGGCAGCUCUCUAGACCAGUCUU